ACAGCUGAAAAUGUCUCCAAAUAUUACUACAUAUAUGGUAUGGAUUGGGGGGCAAAAUUGCUGUCAAUGGAGAACUGCUAGUCUACCCUUAUAAAAUGUGCAAACACAGCACAGUGAAUUAUAACCUGGAUCAUACUUUUUUUCUAUAGAAAAGAUUCUUGAGGGAGAAGAGCUAUUCUUAUGUAUUAACAUAUAGAACAGAAAUGGAACUGUUUUUAAAAAUAGAAAAAAAAAAAACCUCACAAUUCUACAGUAGAACAGUUUCUUUGGUUUUUCUUUUUUCUCUUUCUUUCUUUCUUUCUUUCUUUCUUUUUUUAAUGAUUCAAUCUUGGUUCUCAACCAUUUGUAUACAUUUAUUUUCUUCCCCGUAACAUUGUAGAUAAAAUUUUAUAUUCUACAUUUUAUUCUGGUGUGGUUUUUGUUUGUUUUCUUUUUCUCUUUCUUUUUGCUUUGGCUUUUGUUCUGUUUUGGUGUUUUUGAGACAGGAUUUCUCUUUGUAGCUUUGGCUGUCGUAGAACUCACUCUGUAGACCAGGCUGGCCUCAAACUCACAGAAAUCUGCCUAAAUGUGUGCACCAUCACUACCCAGAAGAAAUUUUAUUCUUACCAUGUCUCCAAAUAUUACUACAUAUGUGGUAUGGAUUGGGGGGCAAAAUUGCUGUCAAUGGAGAAUUAUAUUUAUAUAAUCAUUAAUAUUCUUCUGCCAAACAUUUUACAUUGCAUUUAGCCAUUUUUAUUGUUGAAACUUGUUUAAUUUUUGCCACGUUUUCCCUCAUCCUGCUGUUUCAGUUACUCAAGUGCUAGGAGUAGUGUUUAUCACCACUCCAAUUUUUAAUUUCUCCCUUUAAAAAUCAGUUUCCUGCUUAUAAUUUAUCCUGUCUAUAGUUAAUACCUAAAAGGUGAUUUGAAGCAGAGUUUAAAUAGAAACUGGAAAAGCAGUGAGAAAAGUCUCUGGGACAUAAAGUGAGACUUAAUACUCUUUUAAAGUUCUAGCCUUUUUCAGAUGAAUUAAGCAUUCACUAAUAGUUAAUAAUAAAAACUAUAGGAGUAUAAUACUAACUACUCUGCCUAUAAGUACCUUACAUUUUAGUAGAGGAAUUUGAAUAACUAUAACCAGACAUGGUGGAAACAAGCUUGUAACCCCAGCAUUUGGGUUGUGGAGGCAAGAGAAUAAGAAAAAUUCAGGGUCAUCUACAGCUAUAUCAGGAAUUUGAGACCAGCCCUUAUACAACUACAUGCCAAAAAGAAAAUAUGGAAAUUGGAUGAAAAUAAAGGUAAUAAAUGCUGAACUAAAUUACAAAGUAUCUUAAGUACCCCAAAGGAAACUAUCUCCUAUUUGAUGGCCAGCACAGAGGUAAAUUCAUGGGAAACAUAAGGUGAUUUUUGAUAAAUAGAUAAGAUUUGAGUGGACAAAAAUAAAAGAGGAAGGACGUUACCAAUGGCCCUGAGAUGGGGAAUGUGCAGAACAUUUGAAGAGUAAUUAUGUGUAUGUAUUGAGAAUGCCUGUGUCAUACUAAGUAUAUAGGUUUCAUUUUAUAACCACCUAGAAAGCAGUGAGCUUUUGAUGUUUAAACUACACAGGUAUCAUUAUCUUUCUUUGUUGCUUUUAGUUCUGUUUUCUCUUUUACCCCUUUCCUUGCUUCCAAAUCCACAGAACAUGACACCGUUUGGCACCAUAAAUAGAUAUGGUAGGAGUCUAUCAUCAACAGGAUAAAAAUGUGUCUGAUGGAAGUGAUGGUCUUGUGUAAGUAAAGUAACUAUGCAGAGCCAGCCUGUUUAGUCUGUGUAUCAUAUUAUUCAUGCUAUAGUGAGUAGUAAAAUCAGAGAAGAGUAAGACUAGAACAGAUUAGGAAAGACAUGAUUUUCAACUUUAUUUUGACCCUUUACUCUCACAGUACUGACCUUUCUCUUAAACACAGUGAUCAUGUCAAACCUUUAUAAUAACCUUGCUCUUAUUGUGGCCAAUAGCAUCCCCUUGUUUUAUUCUGUACAUAGACAUAGGACACUAAGAAGCCUGAAAACCCUCCUUUUCCAUUAUCAUUCUCUUAUUUGUAAACUUGUUUUUAAUCUUACUACUUCUAUUUCACAUCAUCCUUUGCUAAGAAUUAAGUAUUCUUUUUUUCCCUAUCCAACAUAUUUUGUGGAAUUUCAAGUUUUGUCUUUCAUUUUACUAAUUAUGGGGCAUUUGGGCAAAUUUCCUAAUGAUUUGACCUCAGAAUUCUUCAUCUGUAAAAGAGAUAAUCCAGCUAUCUAAUGAGACCUCUGUUAUAUAUAUUGGAUGUGACACACUGUAGGCUUUCUUUUCUUUCUUUUUUUUUCUAGAACGUUCAAACUUUAUUAUGUUAUCUUUCUCUCGUGUGCCUAACUUCCCUUCAGUUCAUAAAACUGCUGGGUUACUUUUUAAAUUUUUUUUUUCCAUAUACAUCCAAACCUGCCUCCCUUUUCCCCUGGUACUAACGAUCAAACCCAGGGUCUAGUAAAUACUAUAUAGCUACCAGGCUUUGUAAAAAUUAUAUUGUACCCAGCUGAGUUUAUAUCUUUACAUUUUAGACAGUCUUUAAAAAUUAUUAGUUCUUUGAGACUUGCAUGUGUUUUCAAAGUAUUUAUUCCUCCCUAACUCCUCCC
rnacentral:lncRNA from 1 species